UUGGAGGGCAAGUCUGGUGCCAGCAGCCGCGGUAAUUCCAGCUCCAAUAGCGUAUAUUAAAGUUGUUGCAGUUAAAAAGCUCGUAGUUGAAUUUCGAGACCGGCUUACUGGUCGUGCUAUUGUACGUACUGGUAUAAUCGGUUUCUCCUUUCUGACGAACUAUAAUGCCAUUAAUUUGGUGUUUUAGGGAAUCAGGACUGUUACUUUGAAAAAAUUAGAGUGUUUAAAGCAGGCAUACGCUUGAAUACAUUAGCAUGGAAUAAUGAAAUAGGACGUUUGAUUCUAUUUUGUUGGUUUCUAGGAUCGACGUAAUGAUUAAUAGGGAUAGUUGGGGGCAUUAGUAUUCAAUUGUCAGAGGUGAAAUUCUUGGAUUUAUUGAAGACUAACUACUGCGAAAGCAUUUGCCAAGGAUGUUUUCAUUAAUCAAGAACGAAAGUUAGGGGAUCGAAGACGAUCAGAUACCGUCGUAGUCUUAACCAUAAACUAUGCCGACUAGGGAUCGGAUGAUGUUAAUUUUUUAAUGACUCAUUCGGCGCCUUACGGGAAAC
rnacentral:rRNA from 1 species